ACGAGCCAUCAUCGAGGAACCCGACAUUUGCUGCUAAGCAUUGAGCAGGAGAGGAUUGUCACUAUGCUUUCUAAAUUCAUCGUCCUUUGUGUGGUUUUAGGCGUUGUGAGCAGCUCUCGGAAAGCUACAGGCUGGCCCAAGCUGUGCAAAACGGAUGCUGACUGCUCGCAUUACUUUCCCUAUUGCGGGGAGGGCAAAUGUCGCCCGGUUACAACAUUCUGCAUUUCCGGCGAACGCGGCGUUGCCGGAUGUAACACAUGUAAAUGCGUACGUCACGGCUGGGCUUGUACAAAAAUUUACUGCGGGUCAUAUAAGCAUAAAGGAGCGGUACCGUGUCGGCUGGCAGGGGACCUGCCACUGUGCCGUUAAAUAUCUUCGGCACUGCUUCCGCAACUUCAGCUGGAAUUGCAAGAGCACGGCCACCACUUUCAGAGGCAGCUUUGGAGCUGGUAAUGGGAGUUUCUGAACGUGUGAAAAAUCCGCGCACAAAAAAAAUACAAUAUGCUUUGGGGGAUCGCACGCACGAAGAACUGUGAGUCAAGACAAAGAGUACAGACACCUCUGAUGAGCUCUGAAACAUGAUGUGAUGAUCCAA